UACAGAGGUCCCAACCGUUGUUCGGAUUCAUUGGGCGUAAAGGGUGCGUAGGCGGCGGGGCAAGUCAGGUGUGAAAUCUCGGGGCUCAACCCCGAAACUGCACUUGAUACUGCCUUGCUCGAGUACUGGAGAGGAGACUGGAAUUUACGGUGUAGCAGUGAAAUGCGUAGAUAUCGUAAGGAAGACCAGUGGCGAAGGCGAGUCUCUGGACAGUUCCUGACGCUGAGACACGAAGGCCAGGGGAGCAAACGGG
rnacentral:rRNA from 1 species